UCCCGCCCCGCGCUGAGGAUGCUGAGGCGAAUGCUGCUGGGCUGGGCAGCGCCGAGGCAGGGUGGGUUUGGUUCUCGCUCGCCCUGCUCCACAGUCCAUCACGUUGUGGCCAGAGUGCAGUAAGCAUGACAAGCCAAAGGAAGACCUUAGAAAACAACUCAAGGAAGUUACAAAGGCUAUUGAGAAAGUAAAGAAGCCAGCUGGAUCGGGAGAAGCUACACUCCAGUCCUUGCCACAUGGAACUUGUCAGCUGAGGCUUCAGGGUUUUGAUAAUGGCUCUACUUUUCAUGUGCUGGAUGACUCCAGGCAAACCAUUUCCCUGCCACUGCAGCAGCUUAAUGCUUUGUGAAAAGAAGAUGGUGAGAUGAGGGCACACAGAGUUAUCUACCAGGGCCAUGCUGAAGGUUAUGAAGGCAGGAGCAGAACUGACUAGAUCUCUUUAACUCUGUCUCAGGACAACACAACACGUAUGGAUUUGUAUAUUCUCAAGUAGCUACACUCACUGUCAUACCUGACUUGUUCAAAACUAAGUUCAGCUAUCUCUUGAUUGCACAGCAAUGCUCCCUUUCUGCUGUAAAUUUUGAUAGCAUUAAUUAUAUUGGUGCAAUUUACUGCAGACAAUUUUGCUGAAGCAAUAAGCCAGGUUACCAUUCCAUCACGUCUAACAGGAGUCUUUAGGGGAAUGCUGGUAUGGGGUCAAGUAAGCCUCCUCCUUCUCCUCCUCCUCUUUUUGUUAUUAUUAUAGUUACUCCUUGUUUGGGUAGUGUCUGCAAUGUUCUGGGCAAUUUCCCAACAUAAAAGAAGGCAAUAUUUCCUUCCCUAAGAGGUUACAUGAUAAAAACAGACAAAAAGAUAAAGAGUAGAAAAGGUCAGAAUAGAAACCAUUAGUGGUUUAGCAUCUUGUCACGUUUAGUGAGUUUACUGAGUCACUGAAUAAUCUCCAAGAAUCUGUCUGGCCAGGAUCAACCUAAAAGAAGGCUCUUCCCAUUUUUUCUAAUUUGACCUAUUUGUGUGUAGAUGACUGUUGCCCACUCUCAAGAAAGUAAUCUCUUUUGUCCCCGCUGUUGGUUUGAGAGGGCAUCAUGAAAAACCUAAUGUUUAAAUGGAGUUUAGGCAUAGAGGUCCUACUGAUUGUGAACCACUCUGCACAGAACUUCUAUAAUCUCUACAUGCUUUUAGUGUGUGAAUGGGGGCUAUUGUAUUAAAAAUACAAAUCAGUGCACAGGGGCAAAGCUGCACACACAAGCAAUUGGUAAUAAUCCAGCUCAUAAUAACAUUACAACAGAAGAACACAUUAAGAAGCCAAAUGUUACAGAGCACAGUAAUAGGACAGAUUUUCUAAGGCUUUUAAGUCCUCAAUUCAAAUCAAGUUUAGGUCUGUAUCUACCAAAUGUUACUCUUUGAUUGUUUUUCAAAGACCUGUAAU